GACGUAGGGGGCGAGCGUUGUCCGGAUUUAUUGGGCGUAAAGAGCGCGUAGGCGGCCUGUUGCGUCCGCUGUGAAAUCCCGGGGCUUAACCCCGGGCGUGCAGUGGAUACGGGCUGGCUGGAGGCAGGCAGGGGAGAACGGAAUUCCCGGUGUAGCGGUGAAAUGCGCAGAUAUCGGGAGGAACACCGGUGGCGAAGGCGGUUCUCUGGGCCUGUACUGACGCUGAGGAGCGAAAGCGUGGGGAGCGAACAGG
rnacentral:rRNA from 1 species